CCUACGGGAGGCACCAGUGGGGAAUCUUAGACAAUGGGGGCAACCCUGAUCUAGCCAUGCCGCGUGAGUGAUGAAGGCCUUAGGGUUGUAAAGCUCCUUCAGCUGGGAAGAUAAUGACGGUACCAGCAGAAGAAGCCCCGGCUAACUCCGUGCCAGCAGCCGCGGUAAUACGGAGGGGGCUAGCGUUGUUCGGAAUUACUGGGCGUAAAGCGCGCGUAGGCGGAUAGAUAAGUCAGAGGUGAAAUCCCGGGGCUCAACCCCGGAAUUGCCUUUGAUACUGUUUAUCUUGAGUGCAGAAGAGGUAAGUGGAAUUCCGAGUGUAGAGGUGAAAUUCGUAGAUAUUCGGAGGAACACCAGUGGCGAAGGCGGCUUACUGGUCUGCAACUGACGCUGAGGCGCGAAAGCGUGGGGAGCAAACAGGAUUAGAUACCCCCGUAGUC
rnacentral:rRNA from 1 species